UGGUGGGGAGUACCGCAAGAAAUAAAUCGGAACGGAAAAGACGAUACAAAUGGGAUGCGCAGAGAUGCUGUAAAAACGUGUCCGGCACGAGCACCCGUGACCCCCCUCACAGUGCGCGGGCGGGAGAGGAAGACAAGCGGUGCUGUAAAAACGCGCACAGAGGUUUUAAAGGAAUUGCUGAACUCUACGCAAUAGUCCGGCCUGCUGUGAUAAAAGGAGCAAUGGGAAGCUCUCAGAAAUGCGGGCAGAGUUACUGCCGGCUUUCCACCCCUUGCCAGCACAUGGAGCUGCCUGUCGUCAUCUGGGUACACAGAAUCCAUCUACCAGAAUAGCCCGGCUCCUGGCGUGCAGGCUGAGCAGGAAGGAGCCCGGCACCUUUCCUGUCCACACCACCCUAUUCACGCUGCUAGCUCUGCAUCCUUAUCUCAGAUGGCUCCUGCACAGCUGCUGCCUGAAACUGGCUGGUUUUAACACGAGCAACUAGUUUUAAAAUAGGCGUAGUUUAAGCUGUGCUGUGAUCACACGUCGGUACAUCUUCAGGCCAGAAGUGCCGAAGCCUGUAAUCAGCCCUCCUGCAGGAUAGCACUUAGGCACACAAGUGGUCCCGUUGGUUUUAAUAGAGCUGUUUGGGUAAGAGCUAUUCAGCAUAUAGGAGGGAUGCAGAAUAUUGUCCUGUGUGUUUAUUCCUUGGCAAAAGAUGUCAGCCAGUUUCCCUUUAAGAGGAUAACAGCAAUUCAGAUUAAAACAAGGAUUAUGCUUUACUGUUUUUGCAGCACUGAGGUAAAGCCACAUAUACAUUACACCUGAUUUUGUAUUAAAUCUGUAUCUUGUUGCCUCAGAUGCACAAGUGUAAUGUGCGUCUUGAACAUUGCUGAAACACAGAUCACAUUUUACUGCCGUUUAGUCCAGGCACAAGGGAUGAGAGAAAAUACAAGACAGUGAAGAAAGCAACAUUGUGAUUGUAAUUUAAGAGAAUUUUAUAUCUGUUUGGAAAACGUCUGACUCCGUGAAUUACAAGGUGGAAGGGAAUUUGGUGCAUAGUUUGCUAAGGUAAAAAAGAAAUUGCUGCAACGUUUUCCACUCGCUGCUUGAACUGUUGAAAUUCUACUGCAUAUGGGUGAGACAGUGCAGUUUUUACUGUAAACCCAUUGAAACUUAUGGUAGUUUUGCUGUUAACUGGAAGUAGGUUUAGACACUAUUUGACAUUGCUUUCUGUUACGAAACAGCAUGAAACCAUAUAUGCAUAGGUCUGUGUUGUCCACACAGGAAAGAAAGUUCCCUUUGCCUGACCACAUGCAUAGGGCACUUAGUGAAAAAGAUGCAAAGAGGUAUAGAUAAGGCACCAUUCUCUUCUGCAGCCACAGCAAUCCAGCAGGACCUCAGAUCUUCAGAACACCUAUAUUUCUUUGUAUACGUGUCUAAACGUACCUUAAACUGUUUUGUACAUGCGCUGUGGAAUCAGUCACACAUCCAGAAAGGAAGAUGAAUGUGCCGGGUAUAUAAAUGCACCUUGGUGAAAGUGGUAUAUGCUUGUAUGAAAGCCCAGGAUUCAGGUGUGGAUUUACUGAAGCUCUGAAGGUCUGAAGCUUCUCCUGCUCUUCCCCACCACACUAUGAGCACACACUGUUUGCCUCUGGAAACACGCAGGAGUCCAAAGAAGCACAGACUGCACAGGGCAGUGCUUCAGGAGGGUGCAUGGCCCGUGGUGAGCACCCCACUGGCCAUUGGUGACAAUGAGCAAUGACCAAACACUCCUCAGAGCUCUGACUGCUGGACUGAAGCUGCCUCAGCCUCCCCUGCACUCCCUGGCACCCAAACCCAGAACCUCUAGCCACUCCUGGGGUAAAAAACAGACUCAAUAUGAUUGCUCUCUCUGCUGUUCAGUGUGGGCAGAAGUAUUUUGAAGAUAGUUGGUUUAAGGUCAUCGAGCACAAUUUCACAUUGAUAUUGUUACUUUCCAGGGCCCUGUCCUUCUAGCCUUCCCUGCAUGGAAAGGCUGCUUUGGGAAGAGAGGAGCCACUGGAGCCAGCUGGACUAUGCAUGAAUUCUCUGCCUGAGCCACGUCCAAGGUGUUGGACUCCCUGCAGUUACAGCACAGAGACCUGAUACCGAGGACACAACUUCCUGCCUCACUGACAGUGCCUGCAUUGUGACACUGGCAGCUCUUCAGUUCUUCUUCAUUGUUACUGUUCUCUUGGUAUCUACAGGAGACUAGUCUAGAGGACCUACACACAGUGAGAGAGCUUUUUCUAAUGUGAAAACCUUUCAGUCAACACAGAGAAAACAGACAAAGCGGAGUGACGUGGAGGAAGGAGGAUUCCCUGAUUCUGGUGAGUUCUGGGAACGAGUGCCACAGUUUUCAGCCAGACGCCAAGAAACUCAG